rnacentral:lncRNA from 10 species
UUGCUGCCCUUCCUCUUCCCCAGGGCACAGAAACACUCUCCACUGCGGCCAAGGAUUGCAGGAGAGGUGGCAUCAGUGAUUCAAGACUUCUUUUCCUACCUCUUCAGUGUUUCUUUCAGUGAUCUGAAGUUAAAGCCAGGGGGAAUAUCACAGAAGUGAAGUGCAAUUCUCAUCAUGUCAUAUCAAGAGCACACACUAACAAACAACAUGACUUAUUGCUGAAUAUUGAACUUGAUCACCUGGCUGAGGUGAAUAAACUGACACUGGAACAUUCAGGAACUUCUUCAUGGUCAUGGUCACCCAGCUAGAGUGUGGAAGCCAGGCUGUCUGAUUCCAGGAUCUGUGUUCUUAAUCCUAUACAUAAGGAAGCCAUAAUGAGUCAACCACUAUUUUUAAGAUUCACAGAUGUUCGGGUCCAAUUCACCAGAAUGCCAAGUUAUACAGGGUUGUGGAAUCAAAAACUGCAAUUAGUAAUAAAAUGUGAUGCUAUCUAGAAUGUUUUUCAUACAUAUAUAUGCUUCUUGGGACUCUCCCUGCAGGUUAAGAGAAAUUGAGAAACGAUGGAGAAUUUAAGUGUUUUAGAUCCUACAUACAUUAGACUUAAAAAUAGUAACUAUGUACAUGAGUAUUUGUAAACUUAAGAAUGAACAUAACAUGAACCAUGUGGCACCUAUAAAAUGAAAAUAAAAUACCUACAAACCAAAUGAGAGCAAUAAAAGAAGCUUUAAGGACUUUCA